AACGAACGCUGGCGGCAGGCUUAACACAUGCAAGUCGAACGCCCCGCAAGGGGAGUGGCAGACGGGUGAGUAACACGUGGGAACCUUCCUAGAGGUACGGAACAACGCAGGGAAACUUGCGCUAAUACCGUAUACGCUCGAGAGAGGAAAGAUUUAUCGCCUUUAGACGGGCCCGCGUCGGAUUAGCUAGUUGGUGGGGUAACGGCCUACCAAGGCGACGAUCCGUAGCUGAUCUGAGAGGAUGAUCAGCCACACUGGGACUGAGACACGGCCCAGACUCCUACGGGAGGCAGCAGUGGGGAAUCUUGGACAAUGGGCGCAAGCCUGAUCCAGCCAUGCCGCGUGAGUGAAGAAGGCCUUCGGGUUGUAAAGCUCUUUUGUCAGGGACGAUAAUGACGGUACCUGAAGAAUAAGCCCCGGCAAACUUCGUGCCAGCCGCCGCCGUAA
rnacentral:rRNA from 1 species